UGGGGUGUAGCCAAGCGGUUAAGGCACGGGGUUUUGAUCCCCGGACGCCCAGGUUCGAAUCCUGGCACCCCAGCCA
rnacentral:tRNA from 1 species